CCCCACCCUCAACCCAAUGACUGAGGGAUAACAGACCUCACCAUCAAGCUGCUCCUGCUUCACAGAAAGCACUCAGCACAUGACAUGGCUCUGGCUCCUGUUAUAAUGAAGCUGUUCACUUAACUUUGUUUUCUCCCUUGAGUGAUGCCUCUGCACACUGAGCCUCUUCACAUGUCCCUCUAGCAACAUUCACUGAUCCUUCAGGAAUGAGAACCAACCUGGAUCUCCUGAAAACAUUCUGAGAUGAAGAAUUGUGAGCAUAAUGUUGGGUGGGGAGCACUCUCAGAAGAUACACUGCAAAGAGUAGGUGGAACACUGUUACUGAAAGUGCUGUUGUUCUCUCCUGGGAAGGAAAGCAGAUAUCCCCCCAUGCCUCCAUGGGACACUGCGAGGAAGAAAAUGAGUGUUCUUCUCCAUCCUGCCCCCAGCAUCUCCAACAGCCAAAUGAGGGAAAAUGAGGACUAUGUAGGCCUAGUUUCUUCCGCAAAGGCAAGGAACUGACAAGCAACAAAGACAGGUCUUGAGCCCCUAGCACUCUGACCACAGAGUGCACAUCAUAUUUACUCUUCACUGUCCUGGAAACCUUGCAGUUGGACAAGUUUGAUGAACACUGAAAGGCAAACAUUUCUAGAAGACAAAUUCUUGAAUGUUCUUCUGGAAAUGUUUUCAUGCCCUAACCAGAUUCUCUUUUUCCCGUAAUUUCUCAUCAAAUGUGCUAAAAACAUGUCAUUCAAACCAUUUCUUUCUGAGCCAAGUUAAGAGAUGGAGUAAACAACAAAAAAGAAAGGAAAAAAUUGUAAUUACAGUUCAUCUCACAACAGUGUAUUUAAAAUUUGACUCAAUCUGACUUUGGUAUAUUUCUAUUAUUCAAUAAGUACUCAUUAUAUUGUAUAACAGGGUAAAACAUCUUCUGUUCAUAGAGUUACCAUUUGUGCCAAAAGCACUAAUAUUUUGCUUUCCUAAAUAUCAGAUUCAGUAACAGAUGUUACUUUAUUCUCUUAUUUGUAUUUUGGCAUCAGUCUUCAUUCAACAGGUAUCCCAAUAUGGAACUGUUGUUAGUUUACUUUCCACUAAAUAUAUACACAUAAUUAAUAGGUGCUGGGUCUUAAAAUGUUUACGUACUGUUUAUUAACAAGCUCAAAUUGUAGACCAUGAAUAAACUUGACUGCAUUCUGCAAAAAGUAGUUCAGAGUCUUGAACUUCCUAGUGAGAGUAAAAUUAUAUCAUCUUCUGCCCUGGAAGACAAUUUUAUAUUUUAUAUACAUGUAUUUUGUAACCACUGCCCUUGUUAUUUACUAUUUGUGCUGUUAUGGAAAA
rnacentral:lncRNA from 1 species